GACGUAGGGCGCGAGCGUUGUCCGGAUUUAUUGGGCGUAAAGAGCUCGUAGGCGGCUUGUCGCGUCGUCCGUGAAAACCUGCAGCUUAACUGUGGGCCUGCGGCCGAUACGGGCAGACUGGAGUGCGGUAGGGGAGAAUGGAAUUCCUGGUGUAGCGGUGGAAUGCGCAGAUAUCAGGAGGAACACCGAUGGCGAAGGCGCUCUGCUGGACCAUAACUGACACUCAGGGACGAAAGCUAGGGGAGCGAAUGGG
rnacentral:rRNA from 1 species